rnacentral:rRNA from 1 species
GAUGAACGCUAGCGGCAGGCCUAACACAUGCAAGUCGAGGGAGAAGCCCUUUCGGGGGCAGAAACCGGCGCACGGGUGCGUAACGCGUAUGCAACCUACCUUUCACAGGGGGAUAGCCCGAAGAAAUUUGGAUUAAUACCCCAUAAUAUUAUUGGAUGGCAUCAUUUGAUAAUUAAAACUGCGGUGGUGAAAGAUGGGCAUGCGUCCUAUUAGCUAGUUGGAGUGGUAACGGCACCCCAAGGCUACGAUAGGUAGGGGUCCUGAGAGGGAGAUCCCCCACACUGGUACUGAGACAGGGACCAGACUCCUACGGGAGGCAGCAGUGAGGAAUAUUGGUCAAUGGUCGGAAGACUGAACCAGCCAUGCCGCGUGCAGGAAGAAUGCCUUAUGGGUUGUAAACUGCUUUUAUAUGGGAAGAAUAAGGCGUACGUGUACGUUGAUGACGGUACCAUAUGAAUAAGCAGCGGCUAACUCCGUG